rnacentral:rRNA from 1 species
CGAACGGGUGAGUAAUAUAUCGGAACGUGCCCAGUAAUGGGGGAUAGCCCGGCGAAAGCCGGAUUAAUACCGCAUACGACCUACGGGUGAAAGCGGGGGAUCGCAAGACCUCGCGUUAUUGGAGCGGCCGAUAUCAGAUUAGCUUGUUGGUGGGGUAAAAGCCUACCAAGGCGACGAUCUGUAGCUGGUCUGAGAGGACGACCAGCCACACUGGGACUGAGACACGGGCCCG